rnacentral:rRNA from 1 species
UACGGAGGGUGCAAGCGUUAUCCGGAUUCACUGGGUUUAAAGGGUGCGUAGGUGGGUUGGUAAGUCAGUGGUGAAAUCUCCGAGCUUAACUUGGAAACUGCCAUUGAUACUAUUAAUCUUGAAUAUUGUGGAGGUCAGCGGAAUAUGUCAUGUAGCGGUGAAAUGCUUAGAGAUGACAUAGAACACCAAUUGCGAAGGCAGCUGGCUACACAUAUAUUGACACUGAGGCACGAAAGCGUGGGAGCGAACAGG